rnacentral:rRNA from 1 species
AGUGAACGCUGGCGGUAGGCCUAACACAUGCAAGUCGAACGGCAGCACAGUAAGAGCUUGCUCUUACGGGUGGCGAGUGGCGGACGGGUGAGGAAUACAUCGGAAUCUACUUUUUCGUGGGGGAUAACGUAGGGAAACUUACGCUAAUACCGCAUACGACCUACGGGUGAAAGCAGGGGAUCUUCUGACCUUGCGCGAUUGAAUGAGCCGAUGUCGGAUUAGCUAGUUGGCGGGGUAAAGGCUCACCAAGGCGACGCUCCGUAGCUGGUCUGAGAGGAUGAUGAGGCGCACUAGUGCUGUGACACGGUCCAGACGCCUACGGAGGGCUGCAGUGGGGAAUAUUGGACAAUUGGCGCAAGCCUGGUCCAGCCAUACCGCGUGGUUGAAGAAGGCCUUCGGGUUGUAAAGCCCUUUUGUUUGGAAAGAAAAGCAGCAGGUUAAUCACCCGCUGUUUUGACGGUACCCAAAGAAUAAGCACCGGCUAACUUCGUG